UUUUUUAGGAGAGUUUGAUCCUGGCUCAGGACGAACGCUGGCGGCGUGCCUAAUACAUGCAAGUCGG
rnacentral:rRNA from 1 species